UUUAGAGUUUGAUUCCUGGCUCAGAGCGAACGCUAGCGGCGGGCUUAACACAUGCAAGUCGCACGAGCCUUCGGGCGAGUGGCGAACGGGUGAGUAACACGUGGAUAACCUGCCCUCUGGAGGGGGAUAACCCGGGGAAACCCGGGCUAAUACCGCGUAUGGCCUACGGGUCAAAGCCUUCGGGCGCCAGAGGAUGGGUCCGCGGCCCAUUAUUUAAUCCUGGUUGGUGGGGUAAUGGCCUACCAAGGGUACGAUGGGUAGCUGGUCUGAGAGGACGAUCAGCCACACUGGGACUGAGACACGGCCCAGACUCCUACGGGAGGCAGCAGUGGGGAAUAUUGCGCAAUGGGCGAAAGCCUGACGCAGCCACGCCGCGUGAGUGAUGAAGGCCUUCGGGUUGUAAAGCUCUGUCGGGAGGGAAGAAGAUCUGACGUACCUCCCAAGAAAGCACCGGCA
rnacentral:rRNA from 1 species